CGUAAGGCUCUGCUCCCCAUCGACCCCAAGCGCUGGGACUCAAAGCGGUUAGAAGAGUUGACCUACGCGGAGAGGACUCCGGAGCAGCGGUCGCCAACCGGUGGUCCGUGAGGUGUCUCUGCAAUUAAGAGUUUAUUUUCUAGGCGCCUUUCUGCCUCGUUGCAACUUCAAGAAAUUGCCUUAUGAAAAGAUAAUGGAACUGCCUGGCUGGCGUGGCUCAGUGGAUGAGCGUCAACCUAUGAACCAUGAG